rnacentral:lncRNA from 1 species
AUGGGAAAACUCGGGAAUUCCAGCCCGAAAAAAGACGGAAAAAUCCAGCUGGGAAAGGAGGGAAAAUCUGGGAAAAAAACCUCAGGAAAAUCCAAAUCCCCAAAAACUUGGGAUAAUCCAACUGGGAAAAACGGGGAAAAUCCAACUCCCAACCUGGGAGAAUCCAACGGGAAAACUUGGGAAGAUCCGGGGGGGAAAAAAAGAGGGAAAAUCCCACUUGGAAAAAAAAAGAAAAUCCAACUGGAAAAGUUGGGAAAAAUUUCCAAACCCAAAUCUGGGGAAAUCCGACCUAAAAAAAAACCUGGGAAAAUCCAUCCUGGAAUUCUGGGAAUGGGAGGGACACAAUUCCGGGCGCUUCCAGAGCCGGGAACGGCUCCGUGGGAAUCUGGGAAUAACGGGGGGCUGGAAAUGCGGGAAUGGCGGGGUGGGGAAAUCUGGGAAUGGCGGGGCUCCGGAGCCGCGUCUCAAUGGAAAUCCGGGAAUGCUUGGGCUCUGGAAAUCCGGGAAUAUGGAGGCUCUAGAGCCGCAUCCCUCUGGAAAUUCGGGAAUGUCGGGGCUCUGGAACUCCAGGAAUUUUGGGGCUCCAGAACCCCAGGAAUGCCGGGUUCUGGAGCUCUGGGAAUGUUUGGGCUCUGGAAAUCUGGGAAUUUCAGGGGUCUGGAACUCCAGGAAUGUCAGGGCUCCAGAACUCUGGGAAUGUCGGGGUUCUGGAGCUCUGGAAAUGUUUGGGCUCUGGAAAUCCGGGAAUGCCGGGGCUCUGGAGCUCCGUCCCCUCAUUCCUGGGGAAUUCCCAUGGGAAGCGGCUCCAGGGCUCAGCAGAGUUGGAAAUCUGGGAAUGUCGGGGCUGGAACUCCGGGAAUGCUGGGGCUCUGGAGCUCCAGGAAUUUCAGGGCUCCAGAACUCUGGGAAUUCCAGAGCUCCGUGCCCUCACUCCUGGAGUUCCUGGGGAAUUCCCAUGGGCAGCAGCUCCAGGGUGUGGCAGAGUUGGAAACCUGGGAAUAUCGGGGCUGGAACUCCGGGAAUGCCGGGGCUCUGGAGCUCCAGGAAUGCAGGAAUUCCGGAGCUCUGGGAGUGCUGUUCCCUCACUCCAGCAGUUCCUGUGGAAUUGCCAUGGGCAGCGGCUCCAGCGCCCGGCACAGGGCGGCG